rnacentral:rRNA from 1 species
AGAGUUUGAUCAUGGCUCAGAUUGAACGCUGGCGGCAGGCCUAACACAUGCAAGUCGAACGGUAACAGGAAGCAGCUUGCUGCUUCGCUGACGAGUGGCGGACGGGUGAGUAAUGUCUGGGAAGCUGCCUGAUGGAGGGGGAUAACUACUGGAAACGGUAGCUAAUACCGCAUAAUGUCGCAAGACCAAAGAGGGGGACCUUCGGGCCUCUUGCCAUCGGAUGUGCCCAGAUGGGAUCAGCUUGUUGGUGGGGUAACGGCUCACCAAGGCGACGAUCCCUAGCUGGUCUGAGAGGAUGACCAGCCACACUGGAACUGAGACACGGUCCAGACUCCUACGGGAGGCAGCAGUGGGGAAUAUUGCACAAUGGGCGCAAGCCUGAUGCAGCCAUGCCGCGUGUAUGAAGAAGGCCUUCGGGUUGUAAAGUACUUUCAGCGGGGAGGAAGGGAGUAAAGUUAAUACCUUUGCUCAUUGACGUUACCCGCAGAAGAAGCACCGGCUAACUCCGUGCCAGCAGCCGCGGUAAUACGGAGGGUGCAAGCGUUAAUCGGAAUUACUGGGCGUAAAGCGCACGCAGGCGGUUUGUUAAGUCAGAUGUGAAAUCCCCGGGCUCAACCUGGGAACUGCAUCUGAUACUGGCAAGCUUGAGUCUCGUAGAGGGGGGUAGAAUUCCAGGUGUAGCGGUGAAAUGCGUAGAGAUCUGGAGGAAUACCGGUGGCGAAGGCGGCCCCCUGGACGAAGACUGACGCUCAGGUGCGAAAGCGUGGGGAGCAAACAGGAUUAGAUACCCUGGUAGUCCACGCCGUAAACGAUGUCGACUUGGAGGUUGUGCCCUUGAGGCGUGGCUUCCGGAGCUAACGCGUUAAGUCGACCGCCUGGGGAGUACGCCGCAAGGUUAAAACUCAAAUGAAUUGACGGGGGCCCGCACAAGCGGUGGAGCAUGUGGUUUAAUUCGAUGCAACGCGAAGAACCUUACCUGGUCUUGACAUCCACGGAAGUUUUCAGAGAUGAGAAUGUGCCUUCGGGAACCGUGAGACAGGUGCUGCAUGGCUGUCGUCAGCUCGUGUUGUGAAAUGUUGGGUUAAGUCCCGCAACGAGCGCAACCCUUAUCCUUUGUUGCCAGCGGUCCGGCCGGGAACUCAAAGGAGACUGCCAGUGAUAAACUGGAGGAAGGUGGGGAUGACGUCAAGUCAUCAUGGCCCUUACGACCAGGGCUACACACGUGCUACAAUGGCGCAUACAAAGAGAAGCGACCUCGCGAGAGCAAGCGGACCUCAUAAAGUGCGUCGUAGUCCGGAUUGGAGUCUGCAACUCGACUCCAUGAAGUCGGAAUCGCUAGUAAUCGUGGAUCAGAAUGCCACGGUGAAUACGUUCCCGGGCCUUGUACACACCGCCCGUCACACCAUGGGAGUGGGUUGCAAAAGAAGUAGGUAGCUUAACCUUCGGGAGGGCGCUUACCACUUUGUGAUUCAUGACUGGGGUGAAGUCGGAACAAGGUAACCGUAGGGGAACCUGCGGUUG